UGGGGAAGUCACAUAGCUCAGCCUUCUCCCAAGCCAGUUCAACUCUAUCCAAGUUACAUCUGUGCUACAGCUGUUCAACCUGUUCUUAGUCUACCUUCUCCCCUCUCAGCCACCACAGCCUCCCCAGGCAAUUUAUUCCAGCCCUUGACUUGCUAUAGUGGCUAAUAGCUAACCUCUGCCUCUGCUGCUUGAAUUUAAACCCAUUAAUUCUGUUCACGGAGAACAAAUUAUUCCCUUCCACUUUGCAGCAGCUGUUUAUAUGUUUGAAGAUUGCUCCAUCUCCUCUUCUCUAGCCUGAACAACUCCUGCUCUUCCCGUUUUUUCUCGCAGGUCAUGCUUUGAGACAACCAGUCAUUCCUGUUGAUUGCCAGUGAGUCCUUGUCUCUCCUGAAAUGAGGAGCCCAGCACUCGAUGUAUCACCAGCUCUUAUCCUGUGGGACUCGCAAGUUAUUCUCCUGCUCAGAGUGUACUUGUGUUCUUCUCAGCAUGUGAGGGAAAAUCCGAGCCCCAGCCGGAGACGGCGCGCACCAUGCCUCGUGCCUGGUGCUCGGCGUGCCGAGGGAUCGCCCCCGCGCCCAAUCCCUGCCUCUGGGGGGAAACACGCCGCUUUUAUCCCUGUGAGCCUUCCUGCCCCGUCCAGCUGAGCAGGGCAUGCAGCUUUCCCCAUUCAGCCUCCCUCGCUGGGCUUGGAGAUGACCGCAGGGACAGCCAGGCAGGGCUCGCCCAGAGCCCAGCGCGACGGGACACCACGUGGGUGCCCAGGCCUCGCAGUUGGGCAAGAGCAAGGGGUGCCGAGCUUCAGCAGGACUGCAAAGAGCUCCCGGACCACGCAGCAUCCCUGACUCUCAUUUUCAGGUGUUUGCGCCGUGCUGUGUUUGCAGCGGCUGCCCCGGGAGCCUGGCUGCAGCAAUACCGGCUUCACCAUCCUCAGCUCCACCACUGGCCCACGCCCUGCAAGGCAGGAGUGCCGGCAUAACCCCCUGCAGAAAUACUCCCUAACUCAGCUCCCUUAAUGUCACCUGAUUAACUAAGCAGAUGUGGGGGGCAGGAGAGAAGUUUUGUAUCAAAAGCCUUUGUGCAAAAGCUGGGCUAGGGGUCACUGGGACCAGGGCCAGGCAGGGGGAGCCUCUUAAUUUGACUCUGCUGCAGCCAGGAGAGCACUGUUAUUGCAUGCAUGUUAUUGCAUGGAAGUGGGAGGUCCUGAAAAGUACCGAACAAUGUUUUCUGCUGCAAAAACAAAGAAGAAACCAACCCCAUCACCCCAAAAGCCAGACGAGAAGCGUGCUGCGCUGUGCAGCCAUCCUCCUGCUGCGUGCAGCACAGGGAAGCUCUCAGCAGACGCACCGCAUCCGGUUUUUGAGCACCAGACUUCACGAAAGAUAAGGACAAGUCAGAACAAAUCCACAGGAGAGCACGGAAAAUGAUGAAUGACCAGAGGUCUGGAAAAAUGAUCCACGAGGAAAGACUGAAAGAGCUGAGUUCUCAGUUUUGGCUGAGUUCCCCUGCUGCCUGGGGCAGAGGAAGCUGAGGAGGGCCCCAGUCCUCAAGCAGACUAUUACAAAAUCUCCACUGUAUUAAUCCUUUAUGGACCACCAAACUGUUAUGAAGGAGUGAAAGCUAAUAGUGCUUAGUUCUCACUGUACCCUCGCAAGGCAUAGUUGUUCCCAGCCAAAGCUACGCUAAAUUACGUGAAUAAUUUGAUAAAUAUAUUAACUGCCUAAUGCCCCUGAAAUGCGUCUAAUUGCAAUUGCUAUGGCUAGACAAGAAAUGAGUCUCAG